rnacentral:rRNA from 1 species
UACGUAGGGCGCAAGCGUUAUCCGGAAUUAUUGGGCGUAAAGAGCUUGUAGGUGGUUUGUCGCGUUGUUCGUGAAAUCUCACGGCUCAACUGUGAGCGUGCGGGCGAUACGGGCAGACUAGAGUACUGCAGGGGAGACUGGAAUUCCUGGUGUAGCGGUGGAAUGCGCAGAUAUCAGGAGGAACACCGGUGGGCGAAGGCGGGUCUCUGGGCAGUAACUGACGC